AUCAGAGGAACAUCUGAUCAAGCACCACUCCCCACUGACACUGGACCUUGGAGAAAGUCACCCUAGUACCCUGGAAAUCAAAUGCUGACACAGUGGCAGCCACCACUAGAACGAGGUCUCCACUUCCCCUCAACAGCUUAAUGAGCAUCGCCCCUGCCCCAAGACGGGAUCCAGAGGACUCUGUGAAGGUGGCAGGUUCAAGCAUGUAAGGACUCUGAAAGUCCCCGAGACCUCUCCAACAGCCCCAGAGAAGAUCUAGAAAUUCCAACUCGUUAUGAGCUGACAGAAAGGCUGAUGUGCUGCGGAAGGGGUUGGUACCGGGACCUUGGAUCAGAGGCUUUGCAGGGUUGGGUCCAUGAGGGGUCCAAAGAGAAACAGUUAUGUCUCAACGAGGAUGCAGUGCAUGAGUGGGGCUUGGUAAAAACUCCAUGUAGUGAAUAAAGGGCUUCACUAAUAAAUUCUCUUAUUAAUCCC
ensembl:lncRNA novel transcript, antisense to ERAP1